GAUGAACGCUGGCGGCGUGCUUAACACAUGCAAGUCGAGCGAAGCACUUACCAUUGACUCUUCGGAAGAUUUGGUAAAUGACUGAGCGGCGGACGGGUGAGUAACGCGUGGGUAACCUGCCUCAUACAGGGGAAUAACAGUUAGAAAUGGCUGCUAAUGCCGCAUAAGCGCACAGUACCGCAUGGUACGGUGUGAAAAACCGAGGUGGUAUGAGAUGGACCCGCGUCUGAUUAGGUAGUUGGUGGGGUAACGGCCUACCAAGCCGACGAUCAGUAGCCGGCCUGAGAGGGUGAACGGCCACAUUGGGACUGAGACACGGCCCAGACUCCUACGGGAGGCAGCAGUGGGGAAUAUUGCACAAUGGGGGAAACCCUGAUGCAGCGACGCCGCGUGAAGGAAGAAGUAUCUCGGUAUGUAAACUUCUAUCAGCAGGGAAGAAAAUGACGGUACCKACUAAKAGCCCCCG
rnacentral:rRNA from 1 species